rnacentral:rRNA from 1 species
UACAGAGGAGCCAAGCGUUGUCCGGAUUGACUGGGCGUAAAGCGCACGCAGGCGGUCGCGCGCGUGGGGUGUGAAAUCUGGCCGCUUAACGGCCAGGCGCCAUCCCAUACGGCGCGACUGGAGGCUUGCAGAGGUCGGUGGAAUUGCCGGUGUAGUGGUGAAAUGCGUAGAGAUCCGGAGGAACACCAGUGGCGAAGGCGACACGCUGGGCCGUACCUGACGCUAAAGCGCGACAGCAUGGGGAGCAAACGGG